CCUACGGGGGGCAGCAGUGAGGAAUAUUGGUCAAUGGGCGGGAGCCUGAACCAGCCAAGUCGCGUGAGGGAAGACGGUCCUAUGGAUUGUAAACCUCUUUAGGCUGGGAGCAAUGCCGGGCACGCGUGCCCGGAGGGAGAGUACCCGCAGAAUAAGCAUCGGCUAACUCCGUGCCAGCAGCCGCGGUAAUACGGAGGAUGCGAGCGUUAUCCGGAUUUAUGGGGUUUAAAGGGUGCGUAGGCGGAUUUUUAAGUCAGCGGUAAAAUGUCCGGGCUCAACCCGGGCCGGCGGUUGAAACUGGGGAUCUUGAGUGGGCGAGAAGUAUGCGGAAUGCGUGGUGUAGCGGUGAAAUGCAUAGAUAUUACGCAGAACUCCGAUUGCGAAGGAAGCAUACCGGCGCCCGACUGACGCUGAGGCACGAAAGCGUGGGGAUCGAACAGGAUUAGAUACCCCUGUAGUC
rnacentral:rRNA from 1 species